UUAUCUGAAAAUGUAUGCAGGGUUAUUAUAAUUAAAAAGGUGAGCUAUGAUGACUUUGAUUGCAUUGAUCACAUGA
ensembl:miRNA